UCCCCCGUAAAUUUAUGAAUUUUAUUAAAUAUAUUUUAACGUAUAUUACUUAUAUUUAAAUAGAAUUUAUGAAUUUUAGUAAUAAAAAUAUAAUUAACGUAUAUUUAUUUUAUUUUAUUUACGUUUUAAAUAUUUUAACGAUUUAUGAAAUUAAAAGUAAUUUUAGAAUUUUACGUUGAAAAGAAUUCGAAUUACGAAAACGCGUUCGAUUGAAUUUGGAUAAACAAUCCUAACUAUUUUUGGAUUCGAACAACCUCAAUUUUAGUCCUAGCCCAAGUUGGCAAAUCCCAAAGAAGUAAACCCAUAUCCCAACCCAUGUUCCAAUUUCACGUAAACAACCCUCCUCUCCUCUCAUUCAACUUCACGUGAAAAACCCAAACAACAAAACCUCCUUCUCUCCUGCCGCCCUGCCGCCGCCCAGCCGUCGGACCUCUACCGUGUUCUCGCCGCCGCAACCACAGAAGCUCCGUGAGCUUUCCUCGUCGUCGGCGCAACCACCAGCGCAGCCGCCGCGCAGAUCCCGACCACCGGCCCGUGCAUGCUGCACAACCUCGCUGCCACCACGCACCGCCGUGUGCCGACCACCCUCGUCGUUGCGGCGCUGCCAUUGCCGCCGGCCAGCAGUACCUUCUUCUUCUUUUGGCGGAGAAUUCUCUAUAGGUGACUUUUGAAUUAUUAAAGUGGUCUUGCAGUUUGUUUACACAAGCAACCACAGAAGCUCCGUGAGCUUUCCUCGUCGUCGGCGCAACCACCAGCGCAGCCGCCGCGCAGAUCCCGACCACCGGCCCGUGCAUGCUGCACAACCUCGCUGCCACCACGCACCGCCGUGUGCCGACCACCCUCGUCGUUGCGGCGCUGCCAUUGCCGCCGGCCAGCAGUACCUUCUUCUUCUUUUGGCGGAGAAUUCUCUAUAGGUGACUUUUGAAUUAUUAAAGUGGUCUUGCAGUUUGUUUACACAAGUCUCUAAGGAUCAAUAAGCGUUGCCCAUCUACAGGUUUGAAGAUAUAUGAUGCAUCAUUGGGAUCGGGAUUAGAGAGUUUGUAGUUAUAUUUGUUUUGUUAAGUGAUUUGGUUCGUUAACUUAGACUUGAAAUUUGUCGUACUAUUCGUAUUUCCUUAUUUUCGUUAAUUGGUUUUUGGACUUAAUAUGUAAUCGAUUAUUAUGAACCUAAAAGUUAGUUUUAUGUUUUCCGCUGCAAAAUUCUGAAUAAGCCGUUACGUUUUCACACGGGCGAUAAUACUUUGAUAAUUCUCUAUAGGUAUAUUUAUAAAAGGGUUAUUUUAGAAAAAGGGAAUUGUCGGGGU